UAGAAGGUACAUUUCCUGAAGAAAAUGUGAGUGGUGCUUGCAGUGGCAAAUCUCUGCGCCCUGUAGCCACCCAUGAUGCCUGUUUGAUAUCGUGGAGCCGUGAUAUAAGUUCUUUAUAUUGCUAUAUGGUUGCUAGGGCGCUCUAUAUGGUUGCUAUGGUGUGCCUAUAUAGUUCAUAUAGUGAUAUUUAAAGAUCAUUUACCAGCCUGAUUCCAAAAAGCCCAAGACAGUGUUUCUAUAUGGUUAUUUUGAUGAUAUAUAGCUUUUAAAUGUUGUUAAACAGCUGCUAGGGUGCUAAAAUUGGUUGCUAUGGCGUGGCUAUGAAGUUGUUAUGUCACUACUUAUGGACUGCUUGAUAGGCCGAUACAAAAGAGCCCUCUGCCAAGCCUCUAUGACUUUCUGAUCCAAAGAUAUGAUGUCAGAUAGUUUUUCCAAUGUUAAGUCUAUGGGAUAUUUUCACACAUUUUCUUCGCCCACUGUACGAUUAUCGUAAGUCCGAUUGCUUAGAAAAGUCAUAGCACACCUCUCCUCAAUAAGCCGCACGUUUUGACAUCUCAUUCAUGGGUCUGCGACAAAAAAUGCAGGAGGAGUAGCGUGCCGAAAUUUUGUCAAGGCGAAUAGUAAUAGUAACACUAGAAGGUACAUUUCCUGAAGAAAAUGUGAGUGGUGCUUGCAGUGGCAAAACUCUGCGCCCUGUAGCCACCCAUGAUGCCUGUGUGAUGUUUUGAAGCAGAGAUAGAAGGAUUUAUAUUGCUACAUGGUUACUAGGGUGCUCUAUAUGGUUGCUAUGGUGUGACUAUAUAGUUUAUGGGGUGAUAUUUAAAGAUUAUUUACCAGCCUGAAUGCAAAAAGCCCAAGCCAGUGUUUCUAUAUAGUUAUUUUUGCUGAGAUACAGCUUUUAAAUGUAGUUAAACAGUUGCUAGGGGGCUAAAAUUGGUUGCUAGGGCAUGGAUAUGAAGUUGUUAUGUCACUACUUAUGCACUGCUUGAUAGGCCGAGUCAAAAGAGCCCUCUCCCAAGCCUCUAUGACUUUCUAAUCCAAAGAUAUGAUGUCAGAUAGUUUUUCCAAUGUUAAGUCAAUGGGAUAUUUUCACACAUUUUCUUCGCCCGCUGUACGAUUAUCGUAAGUCCGAUUGCUUAGAAAAGUCAUAGCACACCUCUCCUCAAUAUCCCGCACGAUUUGACACCUCAUUCAUGGGUCUGUGACAAAAAAUGCGGGAGGAGUAGCGUGCCAAAGUUUUGUCAAGGCGAAUAGUAAUAGUAACACUAGAAGGUACAUUUCCUGAAGAAAAUGUGAGUGGUGCUUGCAGUGGCAAAACUCGGCGCCCUGUAGCCACCCAUGAUGCCUGUGUGAUGUUUUGAAGCAGAGAUAGAAGGAUUUAUAUUGCUACAUGGUUGCUAGGGUGCUCUAUAUGGUUGCUAUGGUGUGACUAUAUAGUUUAUGGGGUGAUAUUUAAAGAUUAUUUACCAGCCUGAAUGCAAAAAGCCCAAGCCAGUGUUUCUAUAUAGUUAUUUUUGCUGAGAUACAGCUUUUAAAUGUAGUUAAACAGUUGCUAGGGGGCUAAAAUUGGUUGCUAGGGCAUGGAUAUGAAGUUGUUAUGUCACUACUUAUGGACUGCUUGAUAGGCCGAGUCAAAAGAGCCCUCUCCCAAGCCUCUAUGACUUUCUGAUCCAAAGAUAUGAUGUCAGAUAGUUUUUCCAAUGUUAAGUCAAUGGGAUAUUUUGACACAUUUUCUUCGCCCGCUGUACGAUUAUCGUAAGUCCGAUUGCUUAGAAAAGUCAUAGCACACCUCUGCUCAAUAUCCCGCAGGAUUUGACACCUCAUUCAUGGGUCUGUGACAAAAAAUGCGGGAGGAGUAGCGUGCCAAAGUUUUGACAAGGCGAAUAGUAAUAGUAACACUAGAAGGUACAUUUCCUGAAGAAAAUGUGAGUGGUGCUUGCAGUGGCAAAACUCUGCGCCCUGUAGCCACCCAUGAUGCCUGUGUGAUGUUUUGAAGCAGAGAUAGAAGGAUUUAUAUUGCUACAUGGUUACUAGGGUGCUCUAUAUGGUUGCUAUGGUGUGACUAUAUAGUUUAUGGGGUGAUAUUUAAAGAUUAUUUACCAGCCUGAAUGCAAAAAGCCCAAGCCAGUGUUUCUAUAUAGUUAUUUUUGCUGAGAUACAGCUUUUAAAUGUAGUUAAACAGUUGCUAGGGGGCUAAAAUUGGUUGCUAGGGCAUGGAUAUGAAGUUGUUAUGUCACUACUUAUGCACUGCUUGAUAGGCCGAGUCAAAAGAGCCCUCUCCCAAGCCUCUAUGACUUUCUAAUCCAAAGAUAUGAUGUCAGAUAGUUUUUCCAAUGUUAAGUCAAUGGGAUAUUUUCACACAUUUUCUUCGCCCGCUGUACGAUUAUCGUAAGUCCGAUUGCUUAGAAAAGUCAUAGCACACCUCUCCUCAAUAUCCCGCACGAUUUGACACCUCAUUCAUGGGUCUGUGACAAAAAAUGCGGGAGGAGUAGCGUGCCAAAGUUUUGUCAAGGCGAAUAGUAAUAGUAACACUAGAAGGUACAUUUCCUGAAGAAAAUGUGAGUGGUGCUUGCAGUGGCAAAACUCGCCCCUCUGUUGCUAAGGUGUGGUUGCUAGGGUACCCGGGGUGGUUGCUAGGGUCCCUAUGAUGGUUGCUAGGGCCGUUGCUAGGGUACCCAGGGUGGUUGCUAGGGUAAUCGGGGUGGUUGCUAGGGUGUUGCUAUUUGGUUGCUAGGGUA